rnacentral:rRNA from 1 species
AGUGAACGCUGGCGGUAGACCUAACACAUGCAAGUCGAACGGCAGCACAGUAAGAGCUUGCUCUUACGGGUGGCGAGUGGCGGACGGGUGAGGAAUACAUCGGAAUCUACUUUUUCGUGGGGGAUAACGUAGGGAAACUUACGCUAAUACCGCAUACGACCUACGGGUGAAAGCAGGGGAUCUUCGGACCUUGCGCGAUUGAAUGAGCCGAUGUCGGAUUAGCUAGUUGGCGGGGUAAAGGCCCACCAAGGCGACGAUCCGUAGCUGGUCUGAGAGGAUGAUCAGCCACACUGGAACUGAGACACGGUCCAGACUCCUACGGGAGGCAGCAGUGGGGAAUAUUGGACGAUGGGCGCAAGCCUGAUCCAGCCAUACCGCGUGGGUGAAGAAGGCCUUCGGGUUGUAAAGCCCUUUUGUUGGGAAAGAAAAGCAGCAGGUUAAUACCCCGCUGUUCUGACGGUACCCAAAGAAUAAGCACCGGCUAACUUCGUG